rnacentral:rRNA from 1 species
CAGUAGCCGCGGGAAUACGAAGGGGGCUAGCGUUGCUCGGAAUGACUGGGCGUAAAGGGCGCGUAGGCGGCGAUCAAAGUCAGGCGUGAAAUUCCUGGGCUCAACCUGGGGGCUGCGCUUGAUACUUGGUUGCUUGAGUGGGGAAGAGGGUCGUGGAAUUCCCAGUGUAGAGGUGAAAUUCGUAGAUAUUGGGAAGAACACCGGUGGCGAAGGCGGCGACCUGGUCCUUGACUGACGCUGAGGCGCGAAAGCGUGGGGAGCAAACAGGAUUAGAUACCCCUGUAGUCCCUGUCUCUUAUAC